rnacentral:rRNA from 1 species
GGGUUGUGAGGUUAAGCGACUAAGCGUACACGGUGGAUGCCCUGGCAGUCAGAGGCGAUGAAGGNCGUGCUAAUCUGCGAUAAGCGCCGGUAAGGUGAUAUGAACCGUUAUAACCGGCGAUACCCGAAUGGGGAAACCCAGUGUGAUUCGUCACACUAUCAUUAACUGAAUCCAUAGGUUAAUGAGGCGAACCGGGGGAACUGAAACAUCUAAGUACCCCGAGGAAAAGAAAUCAACCGAGAUUCCCCCAGUAGCGGCGAGCGAACGGGGAGGAGCCCAGAGCCUGAAUCAGCAUGUGUGUUAGUGGAAGCGUCUGGAAAGGCGCGCGAUACAGGGUGACAGCCCCGUACACAAAAGCGCAUGUGCUGUGAGCUCGAUGAGUAGGGCGGGACACGUGGUAUCCUGUCUGAAUAUGGGGGGACCAUCCUCCAAGGCUAAAUACUCCUGACUGACCGAUAGUGAACCAGUACCGUGAGGGAAAGGCGAAAAGAACCCCGGCGAGGGGAGUGAAAAAGAACCUGAAACCGUGUACGUACAAGCAGUGGGAGC